AGAAAAUAUUUCAUGAACAUUUGAAAGUUUGGUUCAACCAUAUUCUGUGUGUUUCUGUAAAUGGUCACUACAUGUUUUGCAUCAAAAAGUUAUAUAUAUAUAUAUAUAUUAUACCUCACAAUGAGCUUGUCCAAUCAGAGAACUAAAUUUGUACCACAUGACCAUGGUAUUUUUCAGCGAAUACUAUGACCUAGGCAAUUUUGAACCCUGGGUGUUUUACCCGGGGCCAUGGUAUUCGACUUUGAAUACCACGCUUGAGCGGGAAAUUCGACUUUUUUAAAUGUAAAGUUAUCAAAAGUUGUGUUUUGAAAUUAAAAGUUAAUUGAAUGGUAUUUGUUUUCUACUUAUUUUUGAAAGUUUCGGUAUAAUAUACCAUUUAUAGACCUUUCACUCGGGGUAUUCCACAAAAAAUUACCCUGUGGGAUGAAAUAUUUCUCGGGUUUCGCCCUCGGAAUAUUUCAUCCCUCAGGGUAAUUUUUUGUGGAAUACUCCUCGUUUCAGGUCUAUAACUGAUAAAUAUAUAUAUAUAAUAUAAAACAGAACGUUUCCCUAUGUGAACUUUAGGAGUUGUUUGUUUGUAAAAUAGUGGAUCAAAGUGUAUCAUUUUAUUGUAUUUAUCGAGGACACAGAAUAGGAAGUUAUACCAGAAGCGUAACUCGAGCAAGUAUUUGUCCGCGUUUUUACAAGCGAUUCGUCAUCAAUCACGCCAUCCUGGCUAGUACAACCGGCACUUUGUACCUACCAAAUCCUGAUAAAAACUUCCUGCUGUACUAGCCAGGAUGGCGUGGCCUGACGUGAGCGAGUUAAAAUUUUCGUGGACGUCAAACAAUAAGGGAAACGACUAGAGUUACGCUUCUGGUAUAACUUCCUAUUCUGUGUCGAGGACGAGAAAUACACCAUUUUAAGCAAAGCAAAUUGAAACUGAAGUUUUGUUCGGAAAUCUAUCAGAAUUGGAGAAAUAACAUUCUUUUAAAAUUUUGUUAAACUGCAUUUUCAUCACUUGAAUUAGUAUUAACAUUAUAUAUAAUCAAUUCAAAGCGGUUGUCAGGUUAAAAAGGACGCUCAAAGAUAUAUGGCUCCGAAAGACUGCAGGAUAAUUUCAAAUUCUUAAAUAUUUCUUGAUUUGGCACUUGAAAGAAAUCUACAAUUGAGUAUGGAACCCAUGAUGUAGUAAUGUUUCGAUGUUUAAAGAUAUAAUUUCUGAGUUUAAAGAGGUAUGCUGUCAAUGCAUUGUCAAAAUGUUAAGCCACUUUGAGGAAAUUAAUUUGCUUCAAGAAAUGGAAUUUGUUGUAAACGACAAUUUCUUGCCGACCACUUGACAAUUGAUCUCGCAUUACAACGAAUGGACUUCUCUUGUUUCGGUAAACAUCGCGAUAAAAUCAUUAUUUUCCAUACUCAAGCGAACAUUUUGGCCACUUUACCAAAAACAGUUCGUAUUCAAAAAAGUAAAAGAGCAUGUUCGAUUUACUUUGUCUUUGAGCCAUAUAUUUUCUUUGUAAAACAACCUGGUGUUACGCUUUUGAUUUCUCCGUCAAACUCGUAAAAUUUAUCAUUGGAGUUGUUUUACAAUAUUUAUUUUGAAGUAUAAACAUUAUCUUGAAAAGACCAGGUUCUCUUGUUUCCUCAAGAAUUAACUUUUUUAAUGUUAAUUCGUGGGGAAACAAGUUUUUUAAUGUUGUGUUUUCACUUGUGCUUAUUCACUUGUGUUGAACACAAUGUUAAUUGUUGUCUUUGUGCCAUGUUCUGUUUUCUUCUAUUGUUAUUUAAAUAAGUAUGCAGUGGUUGUUCUCUUUUUAUUGUUAUUCAAUUUGUAAUUACAAUUCUUUUCAAUAAAUUGUUCAUUAAUUAUACAAGAGACUCCUUUUUAAUUAAAAAUUCAAUUCCCAUGGGAAUUGAAAAAAAAAAUAAAAAAAAUUCCCCCACCCCGGCCGGCUCCCCAAGUACUACCUCUACUUCAAGCAGAAGUACUUCUACUAUAUAGUAAAAGUACUUCUACUUAAAGUAGAGGUAGCACUCGGAGAGCCAGCCGGGGUAGCGAGGCGAAGAGAAGACCAACCUUGCAAAUGCAAAAUAAUGCAAAUUGCUAAGUCGAUCUUCUCUUGAGAGCAGCCACGCGCAUACCUAGCAAAUGUAAAACAACAAGCAUUAGUAACAAAUACUCGACAUGCAAAUUUUGAAUCCCAUGGCCGAAAUGACAAGUGCCCCCCACUGAUUCCUACCAACUGCCUACCUGCCUCAAUCCUAAGCUGUCUGCCUCAGUUCUAAGCUGUCUGCCUUGGUCCUAAGCUACCUGCAUCCCAUUCGUAACUUCCGCUUUCCUCACCAUCACACAGACACUCACAACUGCCCAACCUGCCACCAGCCCGAACUGCCCACCCUUAAAACUGAAGGAAUUAAAAUUUUGGUAAAGUAUACAUAAUUAAUUUAGUUAAUCGAAUAUUUUAGGCGAAACGUAAACAGAUAAAUUAAAAGGUUGACAAUCAGACGAAAGACCGCGUUUACAAACAGGUGAGUUUCUUACUUGCCUUUUUGCAUGAAUAUACGAAACCUCAAAAUCCGGAUUUUUCCUUUUAUAUGCUUUCUAGCAGGCUAUAAUUUUUGUUUAAAUAACGAAACUCAACGCAUUUUGCAGAUGUUAGGAAAGUAGUCCUUUUUCAAUGUUCAGAAAAGAUAUAUUCUCUCUUUAAAUAUUGCUGUCAAAAUUUUAAUUCCUUUAGUUUAACCUAACCCCAUGCAUCCUAUACACACGGCGCACACUCUCGCACUCCAUACAUUUAGUUAAUAAAUUACGUUAUACACAAAAAAUCAAAAUAAAAAGAUAAAUUACAUUAUCACUAGCUGUCCUAUAACCCACUUAGACUGAGUUUUGGAUUCUGGUUCGAAACGUAAGAUCUUAACUGAAAGGGCAUGGGCUUGAGUUUUGUUAACUGGUCCGAAAUAAAUAUAAACCUUAAACUUACCUAAACCAAAGGCUCGCUUAAAUAAGCAUGAGAAUGCAUAUAAUUGUUUUUUCAUAGGAGUUUAAAAUCCAAACGAAAAUUACAAUGUCGCUAAUUUAGUGAGCAUAUAGUACUGUUUGUCUAUAUAGUUCAAACAGAUCGAACGCAAUUCUCAUACUCAUUUAACCGGAACGCCUUGAUGAUCAUUUGCAUGGCACGUCGCAGCUGCUCUCAGUAACAAGAUACUUAUCAUAUUUAAUCAAAGAGGAUUCAUUAUAAAGUCGCAUUUCCACUAUGAAAUCAAUAUCAACAUGAAAACAAAGCAUAGCAUAUUCCCCUGGGAAUUAAAAAUACGGGAAAAAAAUAAAAUUGCCAAACACCUUUUUGCUUGCGCAAAAUAAAAAAAAUUAGCAUAAAAAACAAAGGAUAGUAUAUUCCCAUGGGAAUUAAACACACGAAAAAUAAUCCACCAAUUCUUAACUUUUUAACGCUUGAAAUAGGGUUGCUUGUUUUCAUCGUAUGUUGAUUUCAUUGUGACUUAUUCCAUAGUUAACAUAAUAUAAACAUGGGUAGGGACAGUAUCUGACAGUGAUUUUAUUAUCAACACCAACUGACGAUGAAAAAUAGAAAAUGCUUGGUGCUAGACUCCAAGCCAUGUUUAUU
rnacentral:lncRNA from 1 species